UUAUGUCUAGAAAAGAGAUCGGUGCUGGUGAAGAUGUGACAGUCUUAACACCACAAACACCCUUGAAGAGCCGCAGACCAGAGAUGUCUGUCCAAGCCCGGAGACGUGGGCUUAGGAGCCCCAACGGAUCCAGACGGCCAACGCCCCCAUGGAGAACAGAAGCACCAUGGCAACAAGUAAUGCGCAAACCCAACGGCUGCUUGCAACGGUCAUCGGGUCACCACUUACCUGCUCGAUUUGCAUGCAAGUGAGGGACGUGCCCACUAGCACUUCAAAUACCUUCUCCGUUUGAAGGCAUCAAGUUUGAGAAAUGACAUCAAGCAAGCAGGAACUUCUUUCCUAAUCCAGCAUAUGGAAGCUGCUCCCAGAGACAAAGGACUGUUUGGCAGAGGAAAGAGGUGUUUGGCAGUGCACGUGUUUGCCCAUAAACGGGGCACAGCAGAACCACAUAACCACUGUACGCACUGCUAUUGCUAUGCAGCCACCUCUGGGACACAACAGCAACAGCUGCCAGCUACCCACGUGGGAACACAUUAACCAUGGACCAAGUCCCUGCACAGCAGCAAUGACAGUACUGCAAUGACAGAGAGAGAUGUCUGCACGGGAACCAAACCACCACCCGCUGGGGGAAAACAGCACGGCGAUGCUGCAGGAAGCCUUGACAGCCACCAUCCAGCUCCAGGGGUGCCAACCAACCCUUGCAGCAGCAGCUCCUAGCUUUCCACGGAUCUGGGAGACCCCUGUGAAGGAUGUAGGAGACAGGGACACAUUUAGGCAUGCAAAAUGGAUUAGGGAAUUUUAUUUCCUUGCAAGUACCAGAAGAGGUGCAGGGCUCGUACUGAAAUUCUUCUUGCUGCCUGCAACUGUUCUCGUAACUGCCAUUUGGGAUUCUUUGUCAGGAGUUUCCUUCCCGGAGCCACUGGCUAUAGAAGGCAAACAUAAGCAGACUCACACCAGUUUCCAGUGAAUGUCCCCCAGGUACUCUGCUGGGUUAAGGCCAAGAACAUGAAAGCACUAUUGGAUGCAUCCUUUCUUUGGGUAUCCAGCAAGAGAUUACUGAAGACAUCUCCUGAGCCCUGAUCCUCUUGAAGACCCUCGCUCUGCGACGGAGAACACUUGGAAGGCUGCAGAGUUGCCCCAAGAAUGAAAUCAGGAACAUCCUUACCCAUGUUGUCAGAUCAGACAGCUUUGUAGCUAGCUCUGUGGCAUUUGUGGAGGCAGUCUCUCAUACCUCCAAAUCAUAUUCUCUGAUCCAUUCAGGCACACAGAUACGGAAAGCUAGAUGGCAUGAUUACCCCUUCAGCAUGUUGCAAGCUCUUGAGAUCUGGUGGCUUCUGCUUUCCUUCCGUAAGCAAUUCAAAUGUAUGGGAGCUGAAAUCCACAGAAUUGAAAAAACAUCCUUCUUAAACUUCAUUAAAGAGGAAGACGUCAAUAAUCGACCAUUAUUCUUGGAUGCCCGUUUGUUUGGGUUUUGUUUUUAAAUGGUUGGGAUUGGUCCUGUGCUCUAACAAGAAUGUUCAGCUGCCCACUCCAGCACUAUGACAUUCAGAGCGUAGGAUGAAGCCGUAAUAGCACUUACAAGCCACGUUCUUUAUUGCAUCCUGAGCCAUUUGUAAUAAAAUUACCAAGGCAGCUGGAAAUGCCCUCCUCAUCUGCUAGGGAGGAGGAGGGUGGACCAGCGAGCACCAGAGCACGACACAAAAGCUCUUGGACUCCUGCUUAGGAAAGUCCUGGGCAUGAAGCAAGCUUCCUGGCCUGAGUCUGAUGGACACGUGAAGAUAUUUAGAGAACAACACUAGCAAGGGCACAGAUUUCACUUUUAUAACUUCAGCACUGAGAUGGGAAAUUUUCAGGCCUCCAAUU